UAUCUUUGGUUUAACCACUUGUGCUUGGCUUCUUCACUUUAAUGUCAACAUGGUCACACCUUGAAGCUUUGGAAUCCUGCUUUGCCAAUUAACUUCCAUCAUGCUGCAUUUGCCCUGCUAUACCAACCUGCUGCAACGCCUAACCUGCACAGACCAAAGUCAUGACCAACAUAAAAUCCAAGCCAUAAAGUAAAGCCAUUCAUCUACCACAAUGUCAUAUAGCGCUGAUGGAACAAGAUUGUUUUCGUGUGGCUCAAAUAAAGAAGGGGAGUCAUUUCUAGUUGAAUGGAAUGAAAGUGAAGGAGUUGUGAAGCGUACAUAUCAUGGUCUUGGGAAAAGAUCUGUAGGUGUUGUGCAAUUUGAUACCACUAAGAAUAGGUUCUUAGCUGCUGGUAACACAUCAAAUUUGGGAGCAGCUAAUACACCACAAGAUU
rnacentral:lncRNA from 1 species